GAUGAACGCUGGCGGCGUGCCUAAUACAUGCAAGUCGAGCGAACGGACGAGAAGCUUGCUUCUCUGAUGUUAGCGGCGGACGGGUGGGUAACACGUGGAUAACCUACCUAUAAGACUGGGAUAACUUCGGGAAACCGGAGCUAAUACCGGAUAAUAUUUUGAACCGCAUGGUUCAAAAGUGAAAGACGGUCUUGCUGUCACUUAUAGAUGGAUCCGCGCUGCAUUAGCUAGUUGGUAAGGUAACGGCUUACCAAGGCAACGAUGCAUAGCCGACCUGAGAGGGUGAUCGGCCACACUGGAACUGAGACACGGUCCAGACUCCUACGGGAGGCAGCAGAAGGGAAUCUUCCGCAAUGGGCGAAAGCCUGACGGAGCAACGCCGCGUGAGUGAUGAAGGUCUUCGGAUCGUAAAACUCUGUUAUUAGGGAAGAACAUAUGUGUAAGUAACUGUGCACAUCUUGACGGUACCUAAUCAGAAAGCCACGGCUAACUACGUG
rnacentral:rRNA from 1 species